rnacentral:rRNA from 1 species
GACGAACGCUGGCGGCGCGCUUAACACAUGCAAGUCGAGCGAUAAAACUUUAACAGACCCCUUCGGGGCGAAGAGAAAGUGGAUUAGCGACGGACGGGUGAGUAACCCGUGAGUAACCUGCCUUAGACAUUGGGAUAGCCUCGGGACACCGGGAUUAAUACCAAAUCAAAUCAUAAUGACAAAUGUCAUAAUGAUCAAAACUCCGGUGGUCUAAGAGGCACUCGAGUCCCAUUAGCUAGUUGGUAGAGUAAGAGCCUACCAAGGGGACGCUGGGUAGCCGGCAUGUGAGGGAGAACGGCGACAUUUGAACUAGGAAGCGGUCGAAACUCCUACGGGAUGCAGCAGAGGGGAAUAGAGCACAACGGAGUGAACGAUGAUGCAGCGACGCUGCGUAAACUAAGUAGGUAGUCGAGACGUAAAGUGCUUGUAAAUGGGAAGAUAAUGACGGUACCAAAAGAGAAAGCCCCGGCUAACUACGUG